GUGCUCACUUUGGUGGCACAUAUACUAAAAUUGGAAUGAUACAGUGAAGAUUAGCAUAGCCCCUGAGUAAGAAUGGCAUGUAAAUUUGAGAAGCGUUCCGUAUUUUU
ensembl:snRNA U6 U6 spliceosomal RNA